rnacentral:tRNA from 1 species
GGCCCCGUCGAUUAUGGGUUAGGUUCCGAGGUUUUCACCCUCGGGGAGCGGGUUCGAGUCCCGCCGGGGCUG